AGAUCCCACACCAGAAAGCCCAGCUUUCUUCUCAUCGCCUCUGACUCAUCAUUGCAUUCCUCCUUCUGCCUCCACUUCUCUCUACAGAGAAGUAGACCUCUUUCCAAAGACAGAAGAUGAACAAGAAGCUUGCAUACCCUUCUGCCAUCAUUUGUUCCACUUUUUCUACGACUUCACCGUGAGACAGAGUACAAGGGAGCAUUUAAAUUGCAUGGAGCUUUUUCCAAAGAAGAAGUUACCCCAUCAAUAUUCUGCUUCAGCAGCAAUGCAAGGUAAAAACACACAUCUGUCCAGCUGUCAGCCUGCUGACCCGAUCUUCACGUAAGCCAGUUCUCUGCAUGUGUUUUAAAGGAGGAAACCAAAGGCAUAGCCAAAGGCAGAGGUGAGUGCAGUAAGGUGCAGGACCGGUUCACCACAGGGGAAAUCACACUUUUCAGAUCCGGUAACCGAUUGUCAGGAUACCAGAUUUGCAGUAAAUCUUUCCUCCUGGGUUCCAAAAAGGCUGCAGGGGAAGGUAUGGAUGUACCUGGAGAAGGCGGAGGUUGGUUCAUGAAUUUUGAGAGGGGUGAAGCCCUGAAUAAGGGGAUGAGGCCCUAGGCAGUGGUGAAAGGAGAAAAGCCAGAGCGAUAGGGGCACUUCCUCAGGACUGUUUCCAAGACUGAUCUUACUCAUUUUUUUAAUUUUUUUUCAUAACCUUGGCUCAGAACAUCGGUGUGUGCUAAUAAAACUUGCUGAUGACACA
rnacentral:lncRNA from 1 species